AUGAUUAAGUAAAAAAAGAAUGAACAAUAUUAUAUUGUCUACAAACUUCUUAAGUUGGUGCUCAUUUUUCCGGUAGCCACUGCUAGUGUUGAGAGGGUAUUUUCCUCGAUGAAAUAUGUGAAGAAUUCGCUAAGAAACAAAAUGGAUGAUGAAUAUUUGAAUAGUUGCUUGGUUACAUUUGUUGAGAGAGAAUUCUUCAAGCAAGUGAAAGAUGAGGAUGUCAUCAAUCUCUUCUAA
rnacentral:rRNA from 1 species